UACAGAGGUCUCAAGCGUUGUUCGGAUUCACUGGGCUUAAAGGGCGCGUAGGCGGGCUCGCCAGUCCGGGGUGAAAUCUUUCGGCUUAACCGGAAAAGUGCCUCGGAUACUGCGAGCCUUGAGGGAGGUAGGGGCAUGUGGAACUUCCGGUGGAGCGGUGAAAUGCGUUGAUAUCGGAAGGAACGCCGGUGGCGAAAGCGACGUGCUGGCCCUCUUCUGACGCUGAGGCGCGAAAGCCAGGGGAGCAAACGGG
rnacentral:rRNA from 1 species